AGCUUGUAAGAAGUUCUGAUUUCAGAGAAUAUUCUUGGGUAUUUAAAAAACAAAAACAAAACCUUACUCAGGAACAAUUGAGCCACUUCAUGAAUUAACUGUGAGGCAAUUGUCUAGUCUCACUAGGUGCAAGGCACUGAGCCUUUCUUCAUGUUGUCUUUAAGCAGACAUAAGCUUGACGUCACUGAUUCUUGCCAUUCCUCUUGCAGAGAGGAAAUAGGCAAGAAAGGCAAAUACCCAUGCAUGUUCCCGUUGCAGAAAGUGGCAGAGCAAGGAUUCAAAUUCAGGCUACACUAUCUAGUUCAAACCCUUGCCAUUUUCUCUGAAAAUUUCAAUAAUCACAAUCUCUCUUUGCUUUGCUGAGCAAGAUAUCAAACUCAGGGCCUUCAACAUGUAAGGCAAGCAACAAUCACAAUUCUACUGUUCAAAGUACUAUGAAACAGAAGGUAAGCAACUUAAAAUAGUAUUAAAUAUUUAAGGGGUACAGACUGUAUAAGUAAAAUACCUACCAAAUGCUUUCUUACAACAUAAAAAUUUAUGGGUUUAUUCCCAUUCAUGAACCUAACUCAUAAUAGUAUUUUUAUGCUUUCAAAAUUAUGUGACCUUCAGGAAAGGCCAAGAAAUAAUAGCUAUGGUGUGCUAGAAACAUAUGGUGUAUCUAUCAAGACUAUCCAACAAGCAGCUGAAAGAGACAGAUGCAGAUAUUUACACCCAACCAAUGGACAGAAGGUGUUGACUCCUGUGGUUGAAUAACGGAAAAGCUUGAAGAAGUUGUAGAGGAUGAAAAGCUUGAAGAAGUUGUAGAGGAGGGCAACCCUGUAGGAAGACCAGCAGUCUCAACUACCCUGGUCCCCGGGAUCUCUCUGAGCCACUGAGCCACCAACCAGGCACCAUGCACCAGCUGAUAUGAGGCCCCAACACAUAUACAGCAGAGGACUGCCAGAUAAGGAGGUCGGCCAGUUCCUCCUGCCUUCUGUUUUUCAUAACCCACGCACACAUGCACGCUCCAUCCACAGUGGAGAACAAUCAUGGAGGAAGAGGGUUCCCAGGCUGCCCUUUGAGAAUAAAAUGGGAGGCCAGAACCAAAGUCUUUUGGAUAAAGCGCCACAACAAACUACUACGCACUAGCACUAACCCGUUUGGCUGCCUUCCUUCCCAAGGCACAGAUCUUUCCCAGCAUGGGAAAGACCUCCCUCCCUCCUUCCCUCUCUUUUGACCCAUUUUCACUCUUCCACCAUACACUCAAUAAAAUAAAAUAAAAUAAAGUAAAGUAAAAUAAAAUAAAAUGAAUGAAUGAAUGAA